rnacentral:rRNA from 1 species
GAAUAUUGCGCAAUGGGGGAAACCCUGACGCAGCAACGCCGCGUGAGUGAGGAAGGUCUUCGGAUUGUAAAACUCUUUUAUUUGGGAAAAAUGUCUUAAUGGCUAAUAUCCAUUAAGAGUGAUGGUACCAAAGGAAUAAGCACCGGCUAACUUCGUGCCAGCAGCCGCGGUAAUACGAAGGGUGCAAGCGUUGUUCGGAAUCAUUGGGCGUAAAGCGCGCGCAGGCGGAUUGAUAAGUCAGGUGUGAAAUCUCGGAGCUCAACUCCGAAACUGCGCCUGAAACUAUUAGUCUAGAAUGUCGGAGGGGGCAGGGGAAUUUCACGUGUAGGGGUAAAAUCCGUAGAGAUGUGAAGGAACACCGGAGGCGAAGGCGCCUGCCUGGACGACUAUUGACGCUGAGGCGCGAAAGCGUGGGGAGCAAA